rnacentral:rRNA from 1 species
CUGGCGGCGUGCCUAACACAUGCAAGUCGAACGGGGGAUUUUGUUUCGGCAGGAUCCUAGUGGCGAACGGGUGAGUAACGCGUAGGCAACCUGCCCUCCGGCCGGGGACAACACUCCGAAAGGGGUGCUAAUACCGGAUACGAAGUCUGUGCCGCAUGGUACGGAUUUGAAAGAUGGCCUCUAUUUAUAAGCUAUCGCCGGGGGAUGGGCCUGCGUCCGAUUAGCUGGUUGGUGGGGUAACGGCCUACCAAGGCGACGAUCGGUAGCCGGUCUGAGAGGAUGAACGGCCACAUUGGGACUGAGACACGGCCCAGACUCCUACGGGAGGCAGCAGUGGGGAAUCUUCCGCAAUGGGCGCAAGCCUGACGGAGCAACGCCGCGUGAGUGAGGAAGUUCUUCGGAACGUAAAGCUCUGUUGUUCCUGACGAACCUCCCUUCUAUCAACAACGGAGGGGACUGACGGUAGGGAACGAGGAAGCCACGGCUAACUACGUGCCAGCCGCCGC